AAACUUUUAACAAUGGAUCUCUUGGCUCUUGCAUCGAUGAAGAACGCAGCGAAAUGCGAUCGGUAAUUUGAAUUGCAGAAUUCCGUGAAUCAUUAAAUUUUUGAACGC
rnacentral:rRNA from 1 species